CUUCACCUCACCUCACUUUACUCAUCUGUGAAAGUGAGAUUAAGAAUCCUACCACACAGGAUAGUUGUAAGGAUCGCCUGAUCUAAACUCACUUCUUUACUUCCUUCCUCCUUUCCUUCCUUCCUACUUUCCUUCCUUCCCUUCUUCUUCCCUUCCUUCCCUCCUUCCUUCCACAAAUAUUCUCCAGGGAAUGGAGAAUCAGAAGUAAAGGCCAAGAAAGCUCCUGGCUGCACUGUUUACCCUCUGAUGAGGAUAAAUAUGGGAACACAUAAAUAAAGAAGAUACUUCGGAUAAUGAAAAAUUCCACGAAAGAGUGAUGUGAUCAGAGAGUGACCGUGGAGAACGGCUUUACCUACGGCCAUCAGGAAAGUACUGUCUGAGGAGCUAACAACUAAGAUCUGCACAAGAAGGAAUCCAGACUAUGAAGAGAGAGCAGAAAGCCUUCCAUGCAGAGGGAGCCGCACCUGCAAAAGCUCUGAGGCGAGAAUGAGUACAUUCAUUACAGAAACUGACAGCCAGUGUGAUGGGAACAAAAUGAAAGAGGGGAUCAGGGUACAGAAUAAGCUUGGAGAGACAGAUAUAACCAUUCACUACGGUUGGAAUUAAAACAAGGUACUUCAUUUAGGCUGCUUCCAUUCAAGCUAUUGGAAGAAUCCAGUGCUAUAGCCAAUGAAACGAGAUACGAUGAGAGAACACCUUUCAGAAAGCCCACCUCCACUUGCCUGGGAUGUGAGGCCACCCUAACAACAGGGUGCCUAGACUUGUGCAUACACACUCAGUAGAUGCUUGUAGAAUCAAACCGGCUAAUUUCGCUUGAGAUGAUGCUACCAUCUACGCCAACAUCAUCCCGUAGCUCAAAAUGCUCAAUUGCCCACCAUUGAACUGGCAGCUAGAACCCAAUGCUGA
rnacentral:lncRNA from 1 species